AAGGUGAAAUUUGAAUUAUUAAUUGAGUAAAUUUCCUGAAGUUAAAGCAAAAAAGAUUGAGAUAUAAACUAGGAUUAGAUACCCUACUAUACUUGAAAAUAAAUUUUACAAACCAAAAUAUUAAUAGUUAAGUUCUUAAAAUUUAAAGAAUUUGGCGGUAAUUUAGUCUUAUCAGAGGAACCUGUUUAUUAAUUCGAUAAAACUCGCAAUAUCUUGCUUAAGUUUGUAUACCAUCAUUAUCAGAUAAUUUUUAGAGGAUAAAACUAUUAAGUCUUUAGUUAUAAUAAAGGAAAAUUAGAUCAAGGUACAGCUAAUAAGUAAGUUUAAAUGGGUUACAAUAAAGUUUUAUUUAUAAUGGAUGAAACUAGGUUUCUGAAGGAGGAUUUGAUUGUAUAGAAUUUUAAUAUGGUUCUAAGACAUAAGCUCUAAAUUAUGUACAUAUCGCCCGUCACUUUC
rnacentral:rRNA from 1 species